UGUGUGCUCUUUGACAAGGAACCCGUACAAUCCAAGACUCGAUCAAGAUCUAAAGGUAAGCGUAGUUGUUUGGAGAGGAUGAUCCGCAAAUGCGGUAUAGGAUCGACACCAAGGCAUGUAAUAAGACUAAAUGAUCCCAGGUACGUAGACUCAAUAUGUGGGUACAUGUAUGAAAUCGUCGGGUUCAUGAGGAAUUGAAGCCGGACUUGGAUUAAGAGUAUUUAAGAGAAUGCUUGGAUAAUUCCAUGCUUACAUUAUGGAAUGCUAUGCGAAUUUCAAUUAUAUAGUAUAAUGUUGUAUAGUGAGAUAAUGACUAAUGGUUAAGUCGUAUAUGAUGUCCACAGGUAUCACACGGAUUUCCUCUACCACUAACGAAGAUAAGCGGGCGUAGAUCGAGUCAAAGAACAAGGAUUGUACGGAUAGGACGGCCACCUAGCUUGAAUUAUGUAACGCGCCUUGAAGUAUUAAUUUAAGUAUGAACGUUGUUAAUUCUUUCUAGUAAAAGUUUGCCAUUUUUGUAACUAAGCCUUUUCGUAAGUAAUGUCGUUAAU
rnacentral:lncRNA from 1 species